GCGCCGGGCACCUCGGGGGGCCGGCGGGGCGCGGGGCGGACACCCGGGGCGCCCGCGCGGGAGGCGCCGGUGCCGGGCAGAGCCCACCGCUCCUCGCCCCCAGCCUACUUCGGGGAGGAAGGCAGGGAGGGGAGGGCUGAGCCCACGCCUGGCGAGUCGGGAGACUGCGCGGUGAUGUGGCCGCCGCCGUCCUGCCCUCGGCGCGAAGGGAGCCGCUGGCCUUUCUCGUCCUCUGGAGCGCGCGGUACCUCGUUUAAUUCCCAUCCCAACUCUGCGCGAUUGACUCCGGUUUUACAGAUGGGGAAACUGAGGCCCAGGAAAGCGCCUUCCCCAAAGCCACAGACUAACUCGUGGGAACGCCUUACUGGUGGAAAUAAUAUGUUUGACCUGGCGGGUGAGAUGAACCUACAACAGCAUGCUGGCAACACUGUUGGUGCCCACUCGACAGCCACGUUCCUUCUGUGCUCGCAGCACCCUGCUGCCAUGGGGAGGAGAGAUGCCCCUAGCUGACAGUGCACAGCUCUCCAGCCUCCCUUGCAGCUAGGAUGGACCACAGGACACACUUCUGGACGAUGGAGCCAGAAUCCAACCAAGACCACAGAAUCCACGCCGGUUAUUUCAGAGAGAGGACACAGUGCAGGGACGUGUUUCCACAGGUGGCGGAAAGAGUGUCUGCCCCUGUCUAAACCCACCCAAAAGCUGGAAGACAAUAGGGAAUACUAUCAGGAUAUGAAUCUGAAAGAAAACAGGCAAAUGACCAGGAUAUCUUUCCAAACCUCAUCCAUGCUAAUUUAUUGGAAGCCGCAUCAUGAAUUUACGUAGCAACCGUUGAAUGGAGUCGAGCCAGUUGGAUGGUGCCCCCUCCGCAGCGCCUUUCGCGCUGGGUUACACGUUAACCAUCCUAGGCCGUCCUGCGAGCCCGGGCUGCCUUUCACGUGCAUCUGAAACUCAAAGUGCAUAGAAUAGUCUCUCAAGUCCUCCUCUCUCCGAGAGCUGCCUGGCUGUUGCCCUUCCUGAGUCCUGCUUCUUCGGUGCGCCUUGGGAUUUCAGGGCAUUCCCCGUUGGCUUAAGUUCACUCAAGUUCAUCCGGAAGAUCCAUAACCAGUUCAAACUACUUGCUGAGGGCUUCAGCCCAGGACGCAGCCUCUCCGAUGCCCUGAGGGACGGCUCUGAAGAGGCAAGGGAGGAACCAGGAUACACAGGAGUUUUUGCAACCAAGACCAGGUAGCCGGAACAUCAGAAGAUUACCGUUAAAGAAAAACCAAGCAUCUCAAGUUCAUGGAUUUAGAGCUUUUCUAGUUAUGGGAAGAUGCAGGAGUCUGGGCUCAUCGAAAUCAUUCCUUUGAUUUGCACCUCAACUCUCUAGGGCCAGUAUCCUGCUUUUUCCAUCCUGAAUCCACUCAGGGUGCACAGUUGGUGGGGGGCUCCAGUGGCCGCUGGCUUCAUGGCUGCAGCAUCCUUUGUUUACUGAUACGGCAGUCGGCAUUUUUUGUCCACAGCAUGCACAGCGAGAGCACCGCCCACAUUUACUGAGUGCUUACCACGAGCCGGCACACACACCGUCUAAUUCAACGGUCACACGAGCGCUGCAAGGGAGCUACCAUGACUUUGGCCACUUUACAGGUGAGGAAAGUGACAUUCAGAGAGGUUAAGUGUGUGACUAAGGCCCCACAGCUGGUAAGCGAUGGAGUCAGCCCUCGAAUCCAGGUUCGUUCAACGCCAGGUCCACACUCUGGACGACUUGCUGUUCGCCGGCAUUUGAUGCUGAUUCAUUUCCUGUUCUUCUGGUGACGGCCCUGUCUGUGCAGGGACUCUGAGUGGGCUCAAGGCCUGGCCAGAUGCUGUCGGAUGUACUCCGUGCAACGUGGGGAGCUGAGCCCUCAGGCGCUUCCCGGGCCACGUGACUCUUGGCGAGAGCCGGGUCUAGGCGGCUGUGCGGCUGUGUGAUCUACCCACGCCGGGCUGUCCAUACAGGGCACCCGGUUCUGCUCCGUGGACGCCUAAGGUGGUGUGGAGGCAGAGGAGGGCUUGCUGGAACUGCGAUUUGGCCCUUCCAGCCAAGUGUGAGUCAGGCCUGUUUUUAGCGGUGCCCCUCAUCCAGCUGGGCCAGGUUUGACGCUAGGGGCUUUCUGCAUUCCUCUAUUUCCUUGGUCCAACGGCUAGAUGAUCUGGGGACUCGGCAUUUUCCAGCUGAUAUUUCUGCACACGUGACUCUUAGCAAGGCUGGCGGUGGAGGGAAGGAACACUAGCCGUUGCAGGAGCUGGUGACAUUAUGACAAUGAUGUUUGUUGAAUGACUCUGUGGGUUCUGCCAGCCCGUGGGCAGGAGCAGGCAUGGCAGAUGGCGAGGCACUUGCUCUACCCCCCACCUGCUCUACCAGUGCCAGACAUGACUAGGUGGUCAGGAUACUCUCUCCCCCUGCGCUCGGACACAUCAGAAAGGGGGCUGUGAUCAAUUAGCAGUGGCUGCCGCUGACGGUGUGGAAGUGUGGGGACCAAGUCCAGCUCUGUGCCUUCUGGGGUGGAGGGUAUUUGUUGAAAGUUUAGCUACUGUAUGGAAUCACUUACAUCUGCUCUAUUGACGAUAGUUUUUUUUAGUGUGUUCAGAGCACUUUAAUUUGGGAUUCUGCAGAAGCAGACCCCCAGACCAGAGUUUGAGUGCAGGUUGUUUAUUUGGGAGGUGGCCCGGAGGAACGGGAGGCCAGGGGGCCAGUGAGGCCGCGGGUGUGGAUGCAUAGCUUCCCACUGUGGGCCACGGGGGCCUCUCGGAACUGUGUAGACUAUUUCCAGAGUCAUCCCCCUCAAGGGGCGAGCAGUGGAGUAUUUAUUCUGCAUCCCCGGCCUGUCAUUGGAGGAGGGCUGCUCAUGGGUCCCUAGUGCCUCAGCACUUUCGUCCUGCCCUUGAGUGUGAGACGUUCAGGUCUUGUUUCCACAGAGAGCCCUCAGGCCGAGAGCCUCCGGGCUGUGGUGGGAAGAAAGGGGGGCUGUGCCCGGGGUGUGGGCGGGCACCGUGUCUGCCCCAGAAGAGCAGCUUUGACAGUGUCGUGACCAGAGAGAGCACUGCCCUGGAUCCCGAUGGUCUGGGGUCAGGCCCCGGCCGCUCCGGGUAGCACUGGGUAGCACCCAGGCUCUCUGGCAGGUAUCAUUCCUGCCCUGUCACCCGGAGGGGUUUGCUAUGGGGGUCAAAUGAGGCAAUGCGUGUGAAGAUGCUUUGUUGAAAGUCUGCAUCAAGGUCAUUUCUGGCUGCCUGCCUCCCUCCCCUGGGGUCCUCUCCUCCCUGGCGCUCUGGGGAAUGGCUAAUUAUGACCCCCCUCAUCCCAGCCAGCCAAGCUGGGCCAGUGGAGGGUCCCCUCCUCUUGGCCACAGUGCACGACCCAAGGAGAGCCAUUCGAGCCUUGCUUGGGAUUGAGAUGUGGGCCCCGGGAGACAGGAGACCUCUGUUCCUUAUCGCAGGGCGCUGUAGCCUGGGGCUGCUGACCGUCACCGUCCCAAGCAGAGCUGAAUGGCAGAGCGAGAGAGAGGGACAGACAGACAGACAGACAGAUGGGGAGCGAGGCCUGAUGACCUUGUUUGAGUCGGGAUCCAGUUGUCACCAAAACUCAUGCCUUUCUUGAAGCUUCCUGUUAGGUGGCCUGGAGCAGCUGGAUAUCAUAGAUGGAAAAUGAACCUGGACCCAUCCUCACACCUUCUACAAAAUUCAGCUCAAAGGGGGUUACGAUCUGAAAUGUAAAACAUGAAACCACGACACUCUUAGAAAAACCAGAGGAGGAAAUCUUGGGGACCUCAGACCCCGAGUGACAAGUUGGGUGACAAGUUGUUAGAUUUGGCAUUAGAAAGUAUGAUCCAUAAGAAAAAAAUUGAUAAAUUGGACCUCAUCAAAAUUAAAAACUUCUGCUUUGUGCACGACCCUGGUAAGAUGAAAAGACAAGUUACAGAGAGGGAGAAAACAUAUGCAGAGGUCCGACCUGACAAAGGACUAGUGUUAGGACACGGGAAGAACUCUCAACGGAGAACAUCAGCAGAGGGAAGACCCCGGAGACGGGUCUCCUGGGCCCUGCUCUGUCCAGUAGAACUUCCUUUUGUCCAGUAUGGGAGCCACGGCCACAUGGGCCUCCCUGCCCGCUGGGGUGGGUCUGAGGGUGGACAGCUGGCCCAGCGUCUUGGCUUGAGACCCGACCCAGCCACCAGUGCUUGCCAGCCACGUCCAGUGGCCCUCAAACUGAUCUGAGAGAGGUGCUCUGUCCCACUUCCCAGUGACGCUAGGACAGUGCGAGCUGGACCCUGGGGGACCCUGGCUGCGGCAGGGGCAGCGGGUCCAGGAGGGAGCCUGAGCCUGACACUCGGGGAGGGAUGGGGGCUCAGCCUCACCCGCUUCAGGCAGCCAUGUGAGCGUGUGGCAGCAGAGGCUGCCUGGCUGGGUGGCGACCUGCUCCUCUGGUUGGUCCUGCUGCUGCCGUUGCCGUGCAGCUGGAGUGGACGAAGGCCUAGCUUAGGAAAGGGGGGGCGUUGCUGGGCGUCGGGCAGGCUCCUAGUGCCCCUUGGCUGCAGCUCACCUCUCUCUGACGUCGGCCUCGUCACCCCCCCCAGAGAUGAGGAACGGGGCUUGCUGGCCCGUCAGCCCCUGGCCGUCCUGGUGCCGGACCCCGCACCUCCUCGGGCCUGUUCAGUGGUCAAGCUUAUGCUUUUCCCAACACUGCGAGGCCAGCCUUAAGGAAUGUUUUUCGCAGAAAAGUAUCGUCUAUUCAUGUGGUAUGAAAAUGGCCUGAGUUUGUUUCACUCUGGGAUUUAAAAAGUUACGACUUUAUGGUACCCUGGAGCCCAGGACUCAGAUGGCCACCGUCCCUCCGGGUGGGCCUGGUCUGGGAAGGUCCUGUCCCAGGACUCUGGCCUGGCCCUGGCUGGCUCCCCACCAGCCAGCGUGAUCCCCCCAGAGCGGAGCUGGACCCCACGUCUUCUCUGCCGGGAGUCUUGAGGCCUCUCCCCUCACUCAGAGUCAUGGCUGGGCCUCCGCGCGCCUCUGGGGCUGCGUUCCUUCCCGCCCCCACCUUCCGGAACUUUCCACGUCAUUACUCCAGCCGGGCCCCAGCCCCCUCACAGGCCUCCCGUCAGUUGGGCUCCCCCCUGGAUGGAGGCUGGGGUCUGGGCCUGUCCCCGUCCCCCAGGGCGUUACACAGCAGCACGUGACACAGAGAAGGUCCUCGAUACAGGGACACGUGUGUGAGGAACAGAGGGCCAAACCGAGGGCCGAGCACGUGACACCACAUGCCGCGUUUGUCACAAGGAGAGUCAACUUGAUGGCAUCAGAAGAGGCGGGCGGGUGUGCCCCGGGCGGGAGCUCGGAGGACUGUCUGCUGCGUUAACGAGUGAUUUUCCAGGCUGGCCGUGUGUGUUUGGUGUCAUUUAUGGAGGAAGCAGCAGCGGCCAAGGAACUGAUGGAAGUUCAGCCUCACCAAUAAACUGGAAGCCACGGCGCCGCUCCUCCUUCCGAGCCAACUUCCAGGACCACGAGCAUCCCCAGCCGGGUCCCUGUGGGACGUUUCAGCGCGGCCGGGGCCAAACAGGAAACACUCGGGUUUCCUGGAAAAGCUUUGUAAAACUUUGACAAAAGUGCUAAUCUGGAGGAUCUUGACGUGGGUGUUGGGAAACUGGGGUGAGAUGUGGAGGAUUCUGCGGGGGCCGCCAGCACACACGGUGUUUCUCCAGGAUCACGUAUGUCACGUAUGACAUGUUCCUUAGCUGAGAUCUAAGGCAGAGAGAGAGAGAGGGGCAAAGGGAGGGAGGGGGUGUGGGAAGAGGAGGAGAGACAGAGGGUUCGAGAGCCUCUGCUGAGGAAGGUCAAGGCCUCGACACCACCCUGCUCUCCAGCCCAGAAGCCCAGAACUCCGAGGGUCCCGUGGAUCAGACUGCUCUCACCGUGUCAUGGGAGGGAGAUUACAAGGAACAGUUGAAUAAAUACAACUUUCCACUCGAAAA